GCUUGAUGGAUACGACCUUGC
rnacentral:siRNA from 1 species